rnacentral:lncRNA from 1 species
AGUGUACCAAGCAAGCUUACCUUGGCAGCCAGCUUCAACGUUUUGACAAGUAUGAUUGCUCUCAACUGGAGGGUUGCCCCAGUUGCUGUCCUUGUUGCUGAGACCGGAGGGCAGAGUCUGGACAUUGAUCCUGUUUCCACACUCUUCUGGAAGAAGCAAACAUCUUCGAUUAGGUAAGUCUACCUGGGCCCCAGCACAUUAAGUGACAGGAAGAGGGAAGCAGCCAGCCCUUGCCCACCUGUGUAAGGAGAGUCCCAAUGCGUUCUGCCUACGAUGCGCCGGUUCUCCUUGGAGCAGGCCUUGCAGACCACUGCCUUCAGGUUGUGGAACUUGCUGCCUGCCUGCCUUGGCCUUGUGGAUCGUAUGAGUCCUUAGUGACUGCUCUUGUGCCGUGCUCCCUGCCUGCUGCCGUGCUCCCUGCCUGCUGCCGAGCUCCCCAUCAUGAUCAUCAAGGACACAUCUGUCUUGUCUCAGUGACAGAAAAGUAACUGAGACACUGCCGUAGGAAAAUAUGGGCUAUCACAAGAUGUGGCCACUAAGUCAAACUUACAAGAUCAUUUAUUGUUAGGUUUAUUCUCCUGAAAAACACAGGGAGAGAAGUCCCCUGUUUUUAAAAAUCAUACGUCAUCUCAUUUCAGUUGAAUACCAUUAAGAAUAAAAUGCCACAUGGUAAAAUCUCAAAA